rnacentral:rRNA from 1 species
UUAAGUUGCAGGGUAUAGACCCGAAACCCGGUGAUCUAGCCAUGGGCAGGUUGAAGGUUGGGUAACACUAACUGGAGGACCGAACCGACUAAUGUUGAAAAAUUAGCGGAUGACCUGUGGCUGGGGGUGAAAGGCCAAUCAAACCGGGAGAUAGCUGGUUCUCCCCGAAAGCUAUUUAGGUAGCGCCUCGUGAAUUCAUCUCCGGGGGUAGAGCACUGUUUCGGCUAGGGGGCCAUCCCGGCUUACCAACCCGAUGCAAACUGCGAAUACCGGAGAAUGUUAUCACGGGAGACACACGGCGGGUGCUAACGUCCGUCGUGAA